GAUGAACGCUGGCGGCGUGCUUAACACAUGCAAGUCGAACGGAAAGGCCCAAGCUUGCUUGGGUACUCGAGUGGCGAACGGAUGAGUAACACGUGGGUGAUCUGCCCUGCACUUCGGGAUAAGCCUGGGAAACUGGGUCUAAUACCGGAUAGGACCACAUUUUGGAUGGUGUGGUGGAAAGUUUUUCGGUGUGGGAUGAGCUCGCGGCCUAUCAGCUUGUUGGUGGGGUAAUGGCCUACCAAGGCGUCGACGGGUAGCCGGCCUGAGAGGGUGUACGGCCACAUUGGGACUGAGAUACGGCCCAGACUCCUACGGGAGGCAGCAGUGGGGAAUAGUGCACAAUGGGCGCAAGCCUGAUGCAGCGACGCCGCGUGGGGGAUGACGGCCUUCGGGUUGUAAACUCCUUUCGCUAGGGACGAAGCGCAAGUGACGGUACCUGGAGAAGAAGCACCGGCUAACUACGUG
rnacentral:rRNA from 1 species